rnacentral:misc_RNA from 1 species
AAGACUAUAGACCUGCGGAGUACCUGCGGAAGGAUCAUUAGUGAACGCCCUCACGGGCUUAUAACUAUUCCAAACCUCUGUGAACCGUGCCCUUCGGGGCUAUUUUACAAACAUGGUGUAAUGAACGUCAUAUAUCAUAACAAAACAAAACUUUCAGCAAUGGAUCUCU